AACAGGAGUUACGCGCGGAGAGAGCGAGAGAAAGAGCGAGUGGAAGCGAGAGAGGAAGAGAACGAAAGAGGGAGGUUAUCGUAAGCAUAUUUUCUCAGAUCUGAACUUGUUUCCUUGAUUUAUCGCGAGCAUCGAGCAGGACAUGUUGGGAAAAAGACGAGAGGUUCGGCAACUUGCAUUCCUCGUUUGAAUGGAAUUUAGCCUGUGACAUUGGUGACAUGAGUCCAUUAUUAACUGCAUCUUGGAUCCCUGAAGAAUUUCCGUACAAUUGAUGUCCAGCAUUAGCAUUUGACUGCAACCAUUCUCAGAUUGUUGGCUUCUCAACUGAUGGAUUUUCGACUACAACUACAACUACCAUGAGAAGAUUGAAUCUCAUAUGGGUGACAGCCCGAAUGCACAUUGAAGUCUACAAGUACCCUGCUUGGAGUGACGUGGUUGAGAUUGAGACAUGGGGCCACAGCGAAGGAAGAAUUGGGACCAGACGCGACUGGAUUAUCAGAGAUUACUCCAAUGGCGAAGUCAUUGGUAGAGCAACAAGCAAGUGGAUGAUGCAUCAAGAUAGUAGAAGAUUUCAGAAAGUCAGUGAUGAAGUCCGCGAUGAAUAUUUAGGUUCUCCGCCCAAAAACCCCGAGGCAAGUCAAGCCAGCGAUUGAUAUCUUAUUCCCAGAUUAAUUUCUGGUGAUCAUAAAUUCUGUCUGCCCUCUUUUGUUUUUGAUGAUAUAUUGUUUGAUUAUUAUCUGGGCAUUCUGUUGUGUUUGUCUCAGAUUCACAUUUCCUGAAGAAGACAAUUACAGCUUAAAGAAGAUAUCGAAGCUAGAAGAUCCUGCUACCUUUUCCAGUCUCGGCCUUGCACCACGAAGAGUUGAUCUGGACAUGAACCAACAUGUAAACAAUUUCGCUUACAUUGGAUGGAUUCUGGAGAGCAUUCCCCAGGACGUGAUCAACACCCAUGAACUACAAACUAGCUGCUGCAAUUGAUAAAAUUAGUAAGCUUUUGUUAAUAUAAAUGAUUAAUUGCUACUCAAUGACAUUGAUACUUUGAGAUAAUAUAUUACAAGAUAUACUUUAUGAUUAUGGUAAUUGCUUCCUUCUUGCACAUAUUCGCACACUGUAGAAAAAGCAACUACGAGUACUGAAGAAUCUGAGAAUGGGUUCAUUAAAAAGCAUAACUAUACACAAGUCGGAGUCUUCUACGGGUAAACAAUUUUUUAUUGCUCCAUCCACCCUGCAAUGAUAUAAAACAUAAGUUAUAGAUAUUAUAUAACCCUUUUCAAAUUUUUGCACCUAUGUCUACCCUACGAUCUGUAUUCAACCUUCAUUUACAAGUGAAGGAGAAUAUAUUUGUGCUAGGCACUAGUUACCUAUGUAAGGCUAAAGCAUGUGGUAUUGUAGGUGAGAGGCUUUAAGAUGGGGCUAGAUGAGCUAGAUCAUACUGUAUUUACUUAAAGAGUUAUAGAGUUGUGUAUGUAGGUGGCAGGGAUACAUUUGCUCUCAUAUGAAUUCUUUUGGCAUAACAGGUUAUAAGGUGAAAUAAUAUCACUUAAAAUAGUGGAUAAUGUCCCACAUUUAAGCAUGUAAUGUACUUGGAACUUUUUCUGAGUUAUGUCUGAAGUUCACGCAAACGUAUCAAAAUUGCUGAUAUUGUCGAGUACCAGAUUAUGAAUUUCCACGUCUUUAUAUUUUUGACUGCAGAGAAAAAGGAAGGACUUGGGAUUUUACCUUUGUUUAUUUCAGUUGAUCUGAAAGGGAUAAUAUCGAACAACUUAGUGAAUAUAUUAAAGGUUUUGUACACACCUAACACCUAACAGGAGAAGGAAGAGCCAAAUUUACUUGUAAAUUUAAGGCCCAAAUUUAAUAUUCAGUUUGUUUAUAGAAGCAAAUGUUCAUGUAAAUUUAAGGACCAAAUUUCCUAUAGAAUUUUCUUGCAAAUUUAGCAUGCUUACAAUGUAUUGAUUUGCAAUUUAGCAUAUCAGGAGUUUGGUAAUAUAUUAGCUCCUGACGAGCUCAUCAGGAGCUCAUUAACAGUAUCUUGCAAAUUUCUCUUAAUCGCUAGAAUAUUAUAACAGUAUAAAAAAAAUUAAAUUGAUUUCAUUAUAAGAUUCAAACUAAUUAAAACAACUUGUCAAAUGCUUGUUUGUUAUUUUGCUUAUAUAGUAAAAUCAACGUAAAAAUUAAGAUUGAAAUUGAAAUUAAAAUUAAAAUUAUUAAUUAAUUUAAAUAUUAAUUAAGGGCAAUGUCUUGAUUCUAAAACAAAAUCAUAAAUAUAUAUUAGCCAGACAUAUUGUUUUCAAUUAGGACUUGUUAAAAAAGAUUCUGUUGUAGAACCAAACCUACAAUACAAAACUAUGAAAAAAAAAUUAAUACUUGAGUUUGGUUCUACACUAGAAUCAGUUUUUGAAUUAUAAUAUGUCAACCAUAAAUUAUGAUUCUGUAGUAGCAUCAAGUAUAAAUUACUUAUUCUAAAACCCCCAUACACUCCAAAUUCUGUGAUUUGCAUAUUGUUUAUUAUGUUUCUGUGCGAGCUAUUUGAAAUAACAUCCUGCAAUGAAGCAAUAUGAAUAUGGAUUUCAUUGUUUCUUGUUGACGUAUUGUAUUGUUUGGGUAUCCGGAUGUUACAUUAAAACAGCAUUUUCGAGAUUGUUAUUAAUAUCUCGGAGGUGGUGUUUGUAUGCUCGUAAAUAUGCAUAUACCCCAUUUGGUCAGGAGUAGAUCUACACAAAUUGGUUGUGAAAAACUUCAGAGGUGUUGCCAACUCCUUGGAAGGUCAGAAUCUUUUCUAUCUUCUGUUUGUACAGGGUAUGAAAAUAAGUAUCUUACCAGUUAUAGUUCACAAUAUAUUAGUUAGUUGGAUUUGAUCAAGAAUUCGGAUUAAUGUAUAUUGUAAGAUUUCAAAUGUGUAUCUUACCAGUGGUCAUGAGAGCAGAUUUUUGCAGCAGGAGACCAAGAGGGAAAAAGGAUUUGAUAUAUGCAGCUACAGCGGCGGCAUGUGGACAAGACAUAGAAGUUCCUGAUCUAAUGUUGUACAAUAUUCUUCUGUUGUCACCGUUUAUUCCGGAAAGAGGGGCAGCUGGAGACCAUGCUGCUAGAAUCCCAACUCCAGGCGCAGUUAUAUCUGGUCAUGCUGUCAGGAAUUGAAUUUGGUUGUCUUUGAUUUUGAUUUCCUAGAGAUUCGUGUUGGUUGAUAGAGUUGAGAACUUGGUUCAUGGUAAGGCCUUAAGUUACGUGAUUAAAGCUUGGGUUUGUUUGUUGGCGGGGACUUUGAUAUGGUUUGUAAAGACACUGCUUGUUAAUGUUCUAGUUAUAUUUUUUCAUGUUAGAACUUUCUUAGAUCAAAUUCAGGAUGCAUUGUUUGAUCAAUAUGUGAUUGAGGCUCUCUCAGGGUCACCAUUAGUUGAGCAUCAUCUAGAGCCAGUAGAAGAGGAUGCAUUGUAAGUCUUUUUUGUUUGUACAAGAUCAUUGGUAUAUUGUGUAUGGUACCUUUUAUAAAUAGCAAAUCUUUGUAAUA